rnacentral:rRNA from 1 species
AACGAACGCUGGCGGCAAGCCUAACACAUGCAAGUCGAACGAGAUCUUCGGGUCUAGUGGCGCACGGGUGCGUAACGCGUGGGAAUCUGCCCUUUGGUUCGGAAUAACAGUUGGAAACGACUGCAAAUACCGGAUGAUGACGAAAGUCCAAAGAUUUAUCGCCAGAGGAUGAGCCCGCGUAGGAUUAGCUAGUUGGUGUGGUAAAGGCGCACCAAGGCGACGAUCCUUAGCUGGUCUGAGAGGAUGAUCAGCCACACUGGGACUGAGACACGGCCCAGACUCCUACGGGAGGCAGCAGUGGGGAAUAUUGGACAAUGGGCGGAAGCCUGAUCCAGCAAUGCCGCGUGAGUGAUGAAGGCCUUAGGGUUGUAAAGCUCUUUUACCCGGGAUGAUAAUGACAGUACCGGGAGAAUAAGCUCCGGCUAACUCCGUGCCAGCCGCCGCAGUAA